UACGUAGGGCGCAAGCGUUAUCCGGAAUUAUUGGGCGUAAAGAGCUCGUAGGCGGUUUGUCGCGUCUGCCGUGAAAGUCCGGGGCUUAACCCCGGGUCUGCAUUCGAUACGGGCUAGCUAGAGUGUGGUAGGGGAGAUCGGAAUUCCUGGUGUAGCGGUGAAAUGCGCAGAUAUCAGGAGGAACACCGGUGGCGAAGGCGGAUCUCUGGGCCAUUACUGACGCUGAGGAGCGAAAGCGUGGGGAGCGAACAGG
rnacentral:rRNA from 1 species